UUUCUCGCACCAGCCCACCCCAAAAGAGCGGAGGCAUAUUGUCUGUGGCGCAGCGCGACGGUGCGGUGUCCGAUUACAAACCGUGCGCCGAGGAGCCACCGGCACAGAGCGCUUCUUCUCUAAAGGGGGCAGAAAUAGCACACGGGGCUCCGGAGGGACGAGCCAGAGCGCAGAGGAAUCUCUGCAGAGACAGAGGGAGAGAAAGAAGGAGUUUACCGAGGUCGAUUUCUGGCAAGAGAGGCAGGAGAACAGAGGAUAUUUCAUCUUCGGCUCAUCUUUAUUUUCUGUGUUUCCUCACCAUUCCUCUUCUCACCGGGACAAGACUCGCAGCUUCGCUCCCUGCUAGAUGAACGGGAGUUGGGCACCUCACUUGGUGUGUCUCUCCGAUGUUCUUGGCCCCUGAGGCCUGAGGAGAAGUGAGCCAAGCCCAGGCCCCGAUGGGACGCCCUGUUGCCCAGCAUGCACUGCUGCUCCUGCAGUGCAUGCUGGUCCUGCGGCCCGGAGGCGUGGCCGGUAGGAGGGGGCCCGUUCUGCUGCCCGAAUCGCCCUGUUACAAGACGGAGCACCCACUCGUCCCACACUCAGAGAUGGAGCCGUGGAUCUCCAGGUUCAAAGCGGAGGGCACGGUGGAUUACUCACAGCUGACCUUUGACCCCGGCCAGAACGAACUGAUCGUCGGUGCAAGAAACCACCUCUUCAGGCUCAAUCUGGAAGACCUGACACUGAUCCAGGAGGCUGAGUGGCACUGCGAUGAGUUCACCAAGGGAGCCUGCUUCAGCCGGGGAAAAUCUGAGGAGGAGUGCCAGAACUACAUCAGGGUGCUGCUGGUGAAUGGAAACAGGCUGUUUACCUGUGGAACCAACGCCUUCACCCCCAUCUGCACCAACCGAACGUUGACCAAUCUGACGGAGAUCCACGAUCAGAUCAGUGGAAUGGCCCGGUGUCCCUACAACCCGCUCCACAACUCCACGGCCCUCAUCACGUCCAGCGGGGAGCUUUACGCCGCCACCGCCAUGGACUUCUCCGGACGAGACCCGGCCAUUUACCGUAGCCUGGGCGGCCUGCCACCGCUACGCACCGCCCAGUACAACUCCAAGUGGCUGAACGAACCAAAUUUCGUCUCCUCCUACGACAUCGGCAACUUCACCUACUUCUUCUUCCGGGAGAACGCGGUGGAGCACGACUGCGGCCGGACGGUUUUCUCCCGCGCCGGCCGCGUCUGCAAAAACGACAUCGGGGGCCGGUUCCUCCUGGAGGACACCUGGACCACCUUCAUGAAGGCCCGGCUGAACUGCUCCAGACCCGGAGAAAUCCCCUUCAACUACAACGAGCUGCAGGGAACCUUCUACUUACCUGAGCUGGAGCUGCUCUACGGCAUCUUCACCACCAACGUAAACAGCAUUGCCGCUUCUGCAGUGUGUGCCUUCAACCUCAGUGCCAUCGCGCAGGUUUUCAACGGGCCCUUCAAGUACCAGGAGAACUCGCGGUCGGCCUGGUUGCCCUACCCCAACCCCAACCCGGACUUUCAGUGCGGCACCAUCGACUCGGGCUCCUACGUGAACCUGACUCAGAGGAACCUGCAGAACGCUCAGAAGUUCUUGCUGAUGCAUGAGGUGGUGCAACCGGUGGUUCCCGUGCCCUACUUCAUGGAGGACAACGUGCGCUUCAGUCACGUGGCCGUGGACGUGGUGCAGGGGAAAGACACGCUGUUCCACAUCAUUUAUUUGGCCACCGAUUACGGCACUAUCAGGAAAGUGCUUUCCCCUCUCAACCAGUCCACGGGGAGCUGCCUGCUGGAGGAGAUCGAGCUGUUCCCGCCCAGGAAGAGGCAGCCCAUCCGAAGCCUGCUGAUCCUGCACAGCCGCAGCGAGCUUUACGUGGGCGUGAGGGACCAGGUCAUCAAGAUCCCGCUCAAGAGAUGCAGCUACCACAAGAGCAGGGAAGCCUGUGUGGGAGCCAGGGACCCGUACUGUGGGUGGGACAUGUUGCUGAAGAAGUGCACCACCCUGGAGGAAAGUGUCAGGAUGAGCCAGUGGGAGCAGAGCAUCACAAAAUGUCCCGUCCGUAACGUGACGGUCGAUGGAGGCUUCGGUUCCUGGUCAGGAUGGUCGACUUGUAGCCAUAGCGAUGGAGGCAACGCGGGGUCCUGUCUGUGUCGGACGCGGGCCUGCGAUAACCCCGCCCCCCAGUGUGGCGGCCAGAAGUGUCACGGGAUCAGCGUUGAGGUCGCCAACUGCUCCAGAAACGGAGCGUGGACUCCCUGGACUUCCUGGUCCCCCUGCAGCACGAGCUGCGGCAUCGGCUUCCAGGUGCGUCAGCGCUCCUGCAGCAACCCGACGCCUCGCCACGGCGGCCGAGUGUGCGUGGGCCAGAACCGCGAGGAGAGAUACUGUAACGAACACCUGCCCUGCCCACCACACGUCUACUGGUCGGCGUGGUCGGCAUGGGAACGCUGCACCGUCCCUUGCGGCGGAGGCAUCCAGUCGCGGCGCAGGACCUGCGAGAACGGCAACGACUGCCCUGGGUGUGGUCAGGAGUACCAGUCGUGCAACACCCUGCCGUGUCCUGACCUCAAGAAGACGACGCCCUGGACCCCGUGGACGCCCGUCAACAUCUCGGACAACGGCGGCCACUACGAGCAGCGCUUCCGCUACACGUGCAAAGCUCGCAUCCCGGACCCGAGCCUUCUGGAAGUGGGGAGGCAGAGGAUCGAGAUGCGCUACUGCUCCAGCGACGGAUCCACCGGCUGCUCCACCGACGGCGAAGUGCUUCGUCUUGGGAGAAUCUCCGGCCACACUGUAAACGGUGGCUGGUCCUCCUGGAGUUCCUGGUCUCAGUGCAGCAGAGACUGCAGCCGGGGGAUCCGCAGCCGGAAGAGGACCUGCAACAACCCGGAGCCAAAGUACGGAGGCCAGACCUGCCUGGGCCCAGCACAGGAAUAUCAGGAGUGUAACAUCACACCGUGUCCGGUGGACGGCAGCUGGUCGUGCUGGUCUUCGUGGUCCAAGUGCUCGGUGACGUGCGGAGGGGGACACUACAUGAGGACGCGAACCUGCAGCAACCCCCCGCCGGCUUACGGAGGGGACAUCUGCCUGGGGCUGCACACUGAGGAGGCGCUGUGCAACACACAGUCCUGUCCAGAGAGUUGGUCCAGCUGGUCCGAGUGGUCGCACUGUGACUCCGGCGGCGCCCAGAUGCGCGUGCGUCACUGCGAUGUCCUUUUCCCCACCGGAAACCAGUGCUCAGGAAACAACACCGAGACCAGGCCGUGCUCUCCUGACUCCAAUUUUAUACCAGAAGUCUCGAUUGCCCGCUCCAGUCAGGAGGAGAGGCGCUGUGGAGACUUCAACCUGUUCCACAUGAUCGCCGUGGGGCUGAGCAGCUCCAUCCUGGGCUGCCUGGUCACCCUGCUGGUCUACUCGUACUGCCAGCGCUACCAGCAGCAGUCGCACGACGCCACCGUCAUCCACCCCAUCUCGGCCGCGCCGCUCAACACCAGCAUCACCAACCACAUCAACAAGCUGGACAAGUACGACUCGGUGGAAGCCAUCAAGCCAGACGUGUCGGUACUCUUGCCCCUGGACGACCCCGCCAUGCACCAGCCUCUCUCUGCUAACAUGGGGGUGUCUAUGCGUGGACUGGAGAUUUUCUACUAACCUCUGACCUCUACAACACCCCCCUCCUCCCAACAACUCUUUGACCCCAACCGCUACUACUUCCUCUUCCCCAACGUGCCCCGCCCUUCCACUUCCUGUGGCACUUCCUGUGUGUGGCAGGCCUUCAACAAAAACAAUCUGAUUCUGGAGGAAAGAAAUAAGUACUUCAACCCACAGCUUGCCGGGAAGACCUACACCAACGCAUACUUCACCGACCUCAACACCUACGAUGACUAUUAAUCCAUGCCACAGCGGGGACACCUACCUACCUUAUCAUCCUUUUAUUCCUUUCGUGCUUUGUAUUGAGAUCCGUGACACAACGAGUGGGGCGGUCCCGCUCUGAGACUCCAUGGCAGCUGGUAUGUAACGAGAAAAAAGACACGCGGUGUUGCCAACAGAGGGAAAUAAAUGCCCACUUUCUCUCAGGUGCCUUGGGGUACACUCGGAAAGCUCGAUAUUCGGGGGGCAUAACCCUGCCUCGACUCUCACUGAGAAAACUGGAAUCCUCAAUGUGGACAACUGAAAAAGAAAAAAGAAAAAGGGGAAAAAGAAGAAUUGAACUCGAAGAGACUGCUGGGAACGUGAUCCCUUUUAACUUUCCUGUGACGCCUCUAAAACAGACCUGUAUUUGUAACGAUGGGAAAUAACCACAAGUCGCUUUGCAUGACUUCAUCUUACGUGUUUUCUCCGUUUUUGUUUCGUUUUUUUUUUUGUUUGUUUGUUUUGUUUUGUUUUGUUCUGCAUGAUUGAUCGCAUUCCAGGGUUUCGGGGCGAUGCAGGCAGCGUUUUUUUUUUUUUUGCUCGUCAUUGGUUCUGGACUGGUUUUACACAUCAUGAAAAACAAAAGGCUGCACUGAUGCCCGGUGGCUUUUACCAUUUACCGCCCGCUGCAGCAAUCUCCAGACGGCUCUAUAUCCACCACCCCCCCCCCUGUCCGAGAGUCAGGAUGUAGAUAUCUGAAGUCUGUGAUCAAGUUUCCAUGUCUUUUUUUUUUUUUUUUUGUUUUGUUCUUAGCAGCUAGAAGUGAUUGGACUGAUCAAUGUAAAAUUAUUUUCUCAUAAAUGUUUCCCUUUCUUUGGCCUAUGUUGUUGUACAGGAGGUUACGUUCUAAGCUUAUGUCUGUAGAUUUUUCUAUGCAUUUAUUCAAUGUCUCAAGUGUUAAAAGAGCAUUUUCUUUUGAAAAGAAAGAAAAAAAAAGGCAAUUAAUUGGGAGUAUCCAUAUCAACCUGCAUCAAGUUUAGUCUUUGUCAUCGUACUUUUUUAUAUAUUUUUUGUAAAAUAAAAAAAAAUAAUAAUGAUGAUGUUUUUGAAUUUUGAUAGUGUUCACUAUUCCUUUGGCUUCUGAGUUAAAUAUGUAUUUGUGAGAGCAGGAUGUUAACAGCAUUUACUGUACAGACAGAGCGUAGCAGACUCUAGGAGCGCUGCCUGUAAACUGUAAGAUGAAAUUCAUUCAUUCAAUUCAGAUAUUUCUGUCCAGAGUGUAUAACCAAAUAUUGGGUUAUUCAAUGGUUCAGUUGCAACUAACUCUUUUUACAUGUUUGCUUGUGUUACUGUGCAUAAAUUAAAACUGCUUCGUACACAAAA